rnacentral:rRNA from 1 species
CCUACGGGAGACAGCAGUCGAGAAUCAUUCACAAUGGGGGAAACCCUGAUGGUGCGACGCCGCGUGGGGGAAUGAAGGUCUUCGGAUUGUAAACCCCUGUCAUGUGGGAGCAAAUUAAAAAGAUAGUACCACAAGAGGAAGAGACGGCUAACUCUGUGCCAGCAGCCGCGGUAAUACAGAGGUCUCAAGCGUUGUUCGGAAUCACUGGGCGUAAAGCGUGCGUAGGCUGUUUCGUAAGUCGUGUGUGAAAGGCGCGGGCUCAACCCGCGGACGGCACAUGAUACUGCGAGACUAGAGUAAGGGAGGGGGAACCGGAAUUCUCGGUGUAGCAGUGAAAUGCGUAGAUAUCGAGAGGAACACUCGUGGCGAAGGCGGGUUCCUGGACAGUAACUGACGCUGAGGCACGAAGGCCAGGGGAGCGAAAGGGAUUAGAUACCCUGGUAGUC